rnacentral:rRNA from 1 species
UGAUGAAAGACGGUUUUGCUGUCACUUAUAGAUGGACCCGCGGCGUAUUAGCUAGUUGGUAAGGUAACGGCUUACCAAGGCAACGAUACGUAGCCGACCUGAGAGGGUGAUCGGCCACACUGGAACUGAGACACGGUCCAGACUCCUACGGGAGGCAGCAGUAGGGAAUCUUCCGCAAUGGGCGAAAGCCUGACGGAGCAACGCCGCGUGAGUGAUGAAGGUCUUCGGAUCGUAAAACUC